rnacentral:snRNA from 1 species
AAACUUAUCUGGCAGGAGAGAUAACAAGAUCACAAAGUUGGUUUUCCCAGUGUGAGGCUUUUCCGGAUGUGCUGACCCCUGUGAUUUCCCCAAAUGUGGGAAACUCCACUGCAUAAUUUGUGGUAGUGUUGUGUGUGGGGAACAGAA